GGGAGGAUGGCCGAGUUGGUUAUGGCGCCAGGUAAUUCAACCGUUUGUUCGCCUAUGAAUUUGACUAACCCGAAGCAGGUUAAGGUUACCUUAGCACAAUUCCUGGUUCGGAAACGAGCGUGGGUUCGAGUCCCACUCCUCUCA